GUAUAUAUGUUGGACAUCCGGUAAAAUUGGAACGAUGAAGAUUAGCAUGGCCCCUGCGGAAAGAUGACACACACAAAUCGAGAAAUGGUCUAAUUUUUU